rnacentral:rRNA from 1 species
GACAGAGGGGGGCAAGCGUUGCUCGGAAUUACUGGGCGUAAAGGGCGCGUAGGCGGGCUGCCGCGUCCGGGGUGAAAUCCUCCCGCUCAACGGGAGAACGGCCUCGGAUACGGGCGGCCUCGAGGGGGGUAGGGGCAUCUGGAACUGUGAGUGGAGCGGUGAAAUGCGUUGAUAUUCACAGGAACUCCGGUGGCGAAGGCGAGGUGCUGGACCCUUUCUGACGCUGAGGCGCGAAAGCCAGGGGAGCAAACGGG